UACUAUAUAUAGAGUGUGGGUGUAUGUCUCUGUGUAAUAACAUAAUAUACAUACAUUUUUAACUGGCGGGGAACACAGAGAUACAAAGAAGAAAAUAAAAGCAGAAAUGAAGAAAAAAGGAGAAAGGAGAAAAGCAUGCACUUGGAGACUAAGACCAGGAGAUAGAAACAGAGAAGCAAGACAAGGCGCAGUGGCUCACACUUGUAAUUCCAGCACCUUAGGAGGACGAGGCAGGAGGAUGGCUUGAGACCAGGAGUUCGCGACCAGCCUGGCAACAUAGUGGGAACUGAUUUUAUGACCAAAAAAAUGUUUUUUAAUUAAAAAGAGAGAGAGAGAAGAAAGAAAGAAAGAAAAGAAAAAAGAAAGAGAGAGAGAAAGAAGAAAGAAAGAAAAAGAGAAAGAAAGAAAAAACAAGGACAAUGAUAUACAGAGAGAAAAAUGAAGACUGAGAGCAAAGAAGAGACUGAGAUUGAUGGAAUCACGAGGUCUCCCUCCUUUAGCCUGGAAACUCCACAAGAGCAAGAAUUUUGUCCAUUUUUGUUCAUUACAUAUCGCCAACUCCUUGAGCAGUGCCUGGCACUCAGUAGGUGUUUUGCUCUAUGUUGGCAAGAAACCAGGCUGGACAGGGAGAGUGUCUGCAGUUGCCUAAGUGAACACUAGGUGACAGUAUUUAUAAGCCCUGGAGCUUCCAGGCUCCAAGGUCCCAGAGAUGGCGGUGGAGGAUUUGCCGCCACUGACCUCUGACUUUCAGGAUCUCUUCCUCGGGGCUCAGCCCUGCCUUUCCCUGCACAAGCCUUGGGCGAUGAAUGACCUUUCCGCCUGAGACACCCUCUUCACUCUCCUUCACCAGCCUGCCCAGUUAAACAACUCUUUGUCCCUGGCCCCUUCCUGCUGGGCCCCGAGGCACCUGGGUUCUUUCCAGGCCCGGAGAUGGGGCUGCGACAGAGGUGGUGCAGCUGGGACAAGGCCAAGGAAAAAUCCUGGAGACUCUGGAAUCAGUUCUUCCAGUGAUUGAGACCAAGGGUGAGUCACAAGAAGCCCUGAGGCCCUGAGUCACCUCGCCCUCCCCCCUUGGCCCCUCCCUGGGCUGGAGGCAGCUGGCUGAGGAGUGAAGCAGUUUCCUAGGACUGACCCCUGCAUCCCAGGACUGCAGUUUGAAGGCAGGUGCCCUUCCCACUGUAACCCCAUCACUGCCACCCAGGCAUGUCCAUGCCCAUCCUUUGCUGUUUUUCUCUUUCAGUCAUGGCCUAUUUGGAGACAAAAUUUCUC
rnacentral:lncRNA from 10 species